rnacentral:rRNA from 1 species
GAACGCUGGCGGCAUGCCUGAGAUAUGCAGUCGAACGGUACGUUUCGAGAGCUUGCUCUUGAAACACGAGUGGCGGACGGCUGAGUAAUGCAUAGGAAUCUGCCCCAAACUGGGGGAUAGCUUCGGGAAACUGGAGGUAAUACCCCAUGGUCCUCACUUUUUGUGAUGUAAGGGUUAACUGCCCGGUUUGGGAUGAGCCUAUGUCCUAUCAGGUAGUUGGUAAGGUAACGGCUUACCAAGCCUAUGACGGGUAGCUGGCCUCAUGAGGGUGGUCAGCCAGAGGGGGACUGAGACACGGCCCCCACUCCUACGGGAGGCAGCAAUUAGGAAUAGUCGGCAAUGGGCGAAAGCCUGACCGCGCAAUGCCGCGUGUGGGAUGACACUCUAACGAGCGUAAACCACUGUGGCGAGGGAAGAAGUCUUCGGAUUGACGGUACCUCGCUAGAAAGGGGCCGCUAACUGCGUGCCAGAAGCGUCGGUAAGACGUGGGCCCCGAGCGUUAUCCGGUGUUACUGGGCGUAAAGAGUCGUGUAGGCGGUUCGAAAAGUUACCUUUUAAAUCCCAACGCUCAACGUUGGAACUGGAGGUAAGACUCUCGGACUAGAGUUUUCUACAGGGUGAAUGGAACUGUGGGAGGAGUAGUGAUAUGCGUUGAUCCCCACGGGAACACCAGUGGCGAAGGCGGUUCACUGGUAGAAGACUGACGCUGAGACACGAAAGCUAGGGUAUCGAAGCAGAUUAGAGACCUGCGUAGUCCUAGCCGUAAACGCAUGCUUGCUAGCUGCAUUUCCGCCCCUUCGGGGGUCAGGUGUGGCGAAGGUAACCCGUUAAGCAAGCCGCCUGGGGAUUACGGUCGCAAGACUAAAACUCAAAGGAAUUGGCGGGGAGGCACACAACCAGUGGAACAUGUUGUUUAAUUCGAAACAAACCGAAAAACCUCACCUGGGUUUGACAUGUAGCUGCUCACCCUAUGAAAGUAGGGCUCCUUCGAGGGUGCUACACAGGUGCUGCAUGGCUGUCGUCAGUUCGUUCCGUGAGGAGUGCCCUUAAGUGGGACAACGAACGCAACCCCCAU